rfam:Ictidomys tridecemlineatus contig078028, whole genome shotgun sequence.
AGGGUUGUGGCUCAAUGAUAGAGCACUUGCCUAGCAUGUAUGAGGCACUGGGUUAGAUUCUCAGCACCGCAU